ACCACCGCUUUUAACAGCUGUAGCAGAGCAGCACAGCACAACACAAGUGUUACAUUUUAACAAAUUCGAACAGUUUUUAACAGACGUCUAGUGAAAACGGUGGUGUAACGCGGAUGAACGAAAUAGAAAAAAUUUUGUAUUUUGAAAAGAAAAAAACAACAAAAACCAAAUUAAAAUAAAAGAAACAUAUUGAAAACAACAAUUAAAAAAGUAAAAAAAAACAUAUUUUAUGAAAAUGAAUUAAAAAAAAUUAACAAAAAUUUAAAUAAAAGAAAACAUAAAAGCAAUCAAAACUCAUAAAAAAACUACUUUAACAACAAUUUAAGGACGUGCCAAGCAUAAAUUUAAUUCUUGAAAAGAAUGAAACUCCUUAAAACAACCAAAUUAUCAUUUCAAACAUCUCUGUUUUUUUCUACAGUGUAAAAAGUGCAGUGACACCAAAAAAAAAACCAACAACAAAAGUAAACACCCAAAUAAAAGAAAGAGAAAAACAAAAGAACUUAUAAAAUCAAAACUGCCAAAAAAAUAAGUAACAACAAC